rnacentral:rRNA from 1 species
UUGAGCGGAGAUAUAUGGAGCUUGCUUUAUAUAACUUAGCAGCGAACGGGUGAGUAACACGUAGAUAAUCUAUCCUAUACUGGGGGAUAGCCCGAUGAAAGUUGGAUUAAUACCGCAUAUAGCUAUAUAGUUGCAUGAUUAUGUAGUGAAAGAUUUAUUGGUAUAGGAGGAGUCUGCGGCACAUUAGCUAGUAGGUGAGGUAAAGGCUUACCUAGGCGACGAUGUGUAGCCGGUCUGAGAGGAUGAACGGCCACAAUGGAACUGAGACACGGUCCAUACCCCUACGGGAGGCAGCAGUGGGGAAUAUUGCACAAUGGGGGAAACCCUGAUGCAGCAACGCCGCGUGAGUGAAGAAGGUUUUCGGAUUGUAAAGCUCUGUUAGCAGGGAAGAGGAAGGACGGUACCUGCAGAGGAAGCCACGGCUAACUACGUGCCAGCAGCCGCGGUAAUACGUAGGUGGCAAGCGUUGUUCGGAAUAACUGGGCGUAAAGGAUGCGUAGGCGGUUAAACAAGUUAUAUGUUAAAUAUAUAGGCUUAACCUGUAGAAAGCAUAUAAAACUGUUUAACUAGAGUGCAGGAGAGGUAAGUGGAAUUCCUAGUGUAGCGGUGAAAUGCGUAGAGAUUAGGAAGAACACCAGUGGCGAAGGCGACUUACUGGACCGUAACUGACGCUGAGGCAUGAGAGCAUGGGGAGCAAACAGGAUUAGAUACCCUGGUAGUCCAUGCUGUAAACGAUGGGUACUAGGUGUGGGUUGUGAAUAACAAUUCGUGC